GGGUCUAUAGCUCAGUUGGUUAGAGCAUCCCGCUCAUAACGGGACGGCCGUAGGUUCAAGUCCUACUGGACCCACCA
rnacentral:tRNA from 2 species